GCAGCAGGCGCGCAAAUUACCCACUCCCGGCACGGGGAGGUAGUGACGAAAAAUAACGAUACGGGACUCAUCCGAGGCCCCGUAAUCGGAAUGAGUACACUCUAAACCCUUUAACGAGUAUCCAUUGGAGGGCAAGUCUGGUGCCAGCAGCCGCGGUAAUUCCAGCUCCAAUAGCGUAUAUUAAAGUUGUUGCGGUUAAAAAGCUCGUAGUUGGACUUGUGUCCCACGCUGUCGGUUCACCGUUCGUCGGUGUUUAACUGGCAUGCCCGUGUGGACGUCCUGCCGGUGGAUGCGGUCGGCCGUGGGCCUCUGGUCUGCGUGUCGGCGGUCCGAUGCAAUCCUACCGCGGUGCUCUUCACCGAGUGUCGAGGUGGGCCGGCACGUUUACUUUGAACAAAUUAGAGUGCUCAAAGCAGGCAGUGGUUCGCCUGAAUAUUGUGUGCAUGGAAUAAUGGAAUAGGACCUCGGUUCUAUUUUGUUGGUUUUCGGAACCUGAGGUAAUGAUUAAUAGGGACAGACGGGGGCAUUCGUAUUGCGACGUUAGAGGUGAAAUUCUUGGAUCGUCGCAAGACGAACCUAAGCGAAAGCAUUUGCCAUGAGUGUUUUCAUUAAUCAAGAACGAAAGUUAGAGGUUCGAAGGCGAUCAGAUACCGCCCUAGUUCUAACCAUAAACGAUGCCAGCUAGCGAUCCGCCGAAGUUCCUCCGAUGACUCGGCGGGCAGCUUCCGGGAAACCAAAGCUUUUGGGUUCCGGGGGAAGUAUGGUUGCAAAGCUGAAACUUAAAGGAAUUGACGGAAGGGCACCACCAGGAGUGGAGCCUGCGGCUUAAUUUGACUCAACACGGGAAACCUCACCAGGCCCGGACACCGGAAGGAUUGACAGAUUGAUAGCUCUUUCUUGAUUCGGUGGGUGGUGGUGCAUGG
rnacentral:rRNA from 1 species